rnacentral:rRNA from 1 species
CCGUAUCGAGAGGCACGGUGGGCACUGCACAAGAGAGAAUGCCGGUAUGAGUAGCGAGAGGCAUGCGAGAAACAUGCCCGUCGAAAGCCCAAGGUUUCCUGGGGAAGGUUCAUCCGCCCAGGGUAAGUCGGGGCCUAAGCCGAGGACGGAAGUCGUAGGCGAUGGACAGCAGGUGUAGAUUCCUGCACUACCGAUGGAAUGAAGCAGUGACACAGAAGGAUAACUCGAGCAGGGUGAUGGUCAACCCUGUGCAAGCAUUGAGGUUGGGUUGUAGUGAAGUACGCAAUCCUAUAAGCUGAGGUGUGAUGCGGACCGAAAUUUCAGUAGGGAAGCGAGUGAGUUCACGCUGGCGAGAAAAGCUGCUAGUAUAUCCAAAGGUACCCGUACCGGAAACCGACGCAGGUGGGCGAGGAGAGAAUCCUGAGACGAACGGGAGAACCCUUGUUAAGGAACUCGGCAAAAUGACCCCGUAACUUCGGGAUAAGGGGUGCCUGCGAGAGCAGGCCGCAGAGAAUAGUCACAAGCGACUGUUUAGCAAAAACACAGGUAUCUGCGAAAGCGAGAGCUGACGUAUAGGUGCUGACACCUGCCCGGUGCUGGAAGGUUAAGGGAACAUGUUAGAGCAAUCGAAGCAUCGAACCGAAGCCCCAGUAAACGGCGGCCGUAACUAUAACGGUCCUAAGGUAGCGAAAUUCCUUGUCGGGUAAGUUCCGACCCGCACGAAUGGUGUAACGACUUGUGAGCUGUCUCAACAGGGGGCCCGGUGAAAUUGAAGUAUGGGUGAAGAUGCCCAUUACCCGCGACUGGACGGAAAGACCCCGUAGAGCUUUACUGCAGCCUGAUAUUGAGUUUCGGUAACUGAUGCACAGGAUAGGUGGGAGUCUGAGAGACAUGGGUUUCGGCUCAUGAGGAGACGAUGUUGGGAUACCACUCUUCGGUUACUGAAAUUCUAACAUAGCUCUGUGAAACCAGAGGAUGGACAGUGUCAGGUGGACAGUUUGACUGGGGCGGUCGCUCCGAACGAAGAAGCUGAACGGAGCGCCCAAAGGUACCCUCAGAAUGGAUGGAAACCAUUCGAAGAGCGCAAAGGCAGAAG